rnacentral:rRNA from 1 species
GACGAACGCUGGCGGCGUGCUUAACACAUGCAAGUCGAACGGUGAUCAGGGAGCUUGCUCCUUGUGAUCAGUGGCGAACGGGUGAGUAACACGUGAGUAACCUGCCCCAGACUCUGGGAUAACCCCGGGAAACCGGAGCUAAUACCGGAUAUGACACCAACGGGCAUCCGUAUGGUGUGGAAAGUUUUUCGGUCUGGGAUGGGCUCGCGGCCUAUCAGCUUGUUGGUGAGGUAGUGGCUCACCAAGGCGACGACGGGUAGCCGGCCUGAGAGGGCGACCGGCCACACUGGGACUGAGACACGGCCCAGACUCCUACGGGAGGCAGCAGUGGGGAAUAUUGCACAAUGGGCGAAAGCCUGAUGCAGCGACGCCGCGUGAGGGAUGACGGCCUUCGGGUUGUAAACCUC